UAGUCAGUGGCAAAUCCAAGACUUUGGUC
rnacentral:piRNA from 1 species